AGAGUUCAUAUCGACGGCGGUGUUUGGCACCUCGAUGUCGGCUCAUCACAUCCUGGGGCUGAAGUAGGUCCCAAGGGUAUGGCUGUUCGCCAUUUAAAGUGGUACGCGAGCUGGGUUUAGAACGUCGUGAGACAGUUCGGUCCCUAUCUGCCGUGGGCGCUGGAGAACUGAGGGGGGCUGCUCCUAGUACGAGAGGACCGGAGUGGACGCAUCACUGGUGUUCGGGUUGUCAUGCCAAUGGCACUGCCCGGUAGCUAAAUGCGGAAGAGAUAAGUGCUGAAAGCAUCUAAGCACGAAACUUGCCCCGAGAUGAGUUCUCCCUGAGACUUAGAGUCUCCUGAAGGAACGUUGAAGACGACGACGUUGAUAGGCCGGGUGUGUAAGCGCAGCGAUGCGUUGAGCUAACCGGUACUAAUGAACCGUGAGGCUUAACCUU
rnacentral:rRNA from 1 species